rnacentral:rRNA from 1 species
CCUACGGGAGACAGCAGUGAGGAAUAUUGGUCAAUGGGAGAGAGCCUGAACCAGCCAAGCCGCGUGAGGGAAGACGGCCCUAUGGGUUGUAAACCUCUUUUGUCGGAGAACAAAACCCGGGACGUGUCCCGGACUGCGUGUAUCCGAAGAAAAAGCAUCGGCUAACUCCGUGCCAGCAGCCGCGGUAAUACGGAGGAUGCGAGCGUUAUCCGGAUUUAUUGGGUUUAAAGGGUGCGUAGGCGGUCCGUUAAGUCAGCGGUAAAAUUGCGGGGCUCAACCCCGUCGAGCCGUUGAAACUGGCAGGCUUGAGUUGGCGAGAAGGACGCGGAAUGCGCGGUGUAGCGGUGAAAUGCAUAGAUAUCGCGCAGAACUCCGGUUGCGAAGGCAGCGUACCGGCGCCAGACUGACGCUGAGGCACGAAAGCGUGGGGAUCGAACAGGAUUAGAUACCCUUGUAGUC